rnacentral:rRNA from 1 species
AGAGUUUGAUCCUGGCUCAGAACGAACGCUGGCGGCGUGGAUAAGACAUGCAAGUCGAGCGCUGAUUGCAGGGUAGCAAUAUUCUGUAGUUGGAGCGGCGCAAGGGUGCGUAACACGUGGGUAAUCUGCCAUGAAGUUUGGGAUAACUCGCUGAAAGGCGAGCUAAUACAGGAUGUGAAGAUUGGAAGGCAUCUUUUGAUCUUCAAAGCUGGGGACCGUAAGGCCUGGCGCUUCAUGAUGAGCCCGCGGCCUAUCAGCUAGUUGGUGAGGUAACGGCUCACCAAGGCUAAGACGGGUAGCUGGUCUGAGAGGACGACCAGCCACACUGGAACUGAGACACGGUCCAGACACCUACGGGUGGCAGCAGUCGAGAAUUUUUCACAAUGGGGGAAACCCUGAUGGAGCGACGCCGCGUGGGGGAUGAAUGGCUUCGGCCCGUAAACCCCUGUCAUUCGCGAACAAUGCCUGUGUAUUAACACCAUACAGGUUGAUAGUAGCGGAAGAGGAAGGGACGGCUAACUCUGUGCCAGCAGCCGCGGUAAUACAGAGGUCCCAAGCGUUGUUCGGAUUCACUGGGCGUAAAGGGUGCGUAGGCGGUCGGGUAAGUCUGAUGUGAAAUCUCACAGCUUAACUGUGAAACUGCAUUGGAUACUAUUCGGCUUGAGGUCUGGAG